AGAGAUACACCAUCAGCAGCAGAAGAUGACCGUGUCGGAGCCGCAACACCUGUUGAAGAAUCAUCAGCAGAGGUGAGGAAUGCAGUCCCAUCAGUGAGCAAGAGGAGCAAGCCACUUUCUGGAGAUGAUGACCGGCUCACAGCUGUGAUGUCUGUCAAAGGUAAAGCUCCCAGGAAAAGAAAACCAUGGCAGGACGAAGAGGUAAAAGCCGUUGAAAAGCAUAUGAAGCGGUUCAUCACUUCAUGCAUCGUCCCUUCAAAGAGAGACUGUGAAAAGUGUCUAAGAGCUGAGCCAGCAGCUCUCAAUAAUCGGGAUUGGCAAAUGUUAAAAUAUUAUGUAUACAACCGCAUCACAGCGUACAAAAAGAAAGUCCAGCAUUCCUAAUGUUUAAAAAAGGCUGAUUCUGCUAGUUUUGUGAGCAGUGCUUUGCUUAUGUCUUAUGUUAUGGUUAUUUUCACUGU